UACGUAGGGGGCAAGCGUUGUCCGGAAUCACUGGGCGUAAAGGGCGCGUAGGCGGCCUGGUAAGUAGGGGGUGAAAUCCUGCGGCUUAACCGCAGGGCUGCCUUCUAAACUGUCAGGCUCGAGCACGGUAGAGGCAGAUGGAAUUCCUGGUGUAGCGGUGAAAUGCGCAGAUAUCAGGAGGAACACCGGUGGCGAAGGCGGGUCUCUGGGCCGAUACUGACGCUGAGGAGCGAAAGCGUGGGGAGCGAACAGG
rnacentral:rRNA from 1 species